CCGCCCGGUUUGCGUACGUUUUUGUUCAAAUCACAGGCCGCGACACGCUUCCGAAGGUUGGCCAUCACGAUCGCUUCCUCCCUGUGGAACGGACAGAGAAGAGAAGACGGAAGCAAAAACAGCUGUCAACUGGUUCGUGUCGUACAUCAUCAUCGUUAUAAUUAAUUCCGAACGCUUCGUCGGACAACCAUCCACCAACAAAACCCCGGAAAGUAGUUCAAGUACCUUAGCUCCGUACGGUCUGGCACAGAAGAAGCGGAUGACUGUCCACUUCUCCUGAUGCUGCAGUGCAACAAAAUGCUCCAGAUGCGGCCGUUCAGUUUAAAAGAGGCAAAAGAUUUCCCCAUAACGUUCCUGCAUUCCAACACAACGGGCUGGGUUCAGGUCGAGAGCAUGCUGCUGGUCCAGGAAUGACCUGAGCGACGUUGCGUCUUCUCAAGAGCUACCGGUGGUCCUUCAUCUGCUAGAGCAACCAAUCCCCAGUGGAUGAAUAUCGUAUGAAAUUAUGCUCACGUUGACAGGUGACGGGAGGCCACGAGGCUCAGAUUGCUUCCUCUAGCGGGGAACGCGCGUUUGCGUGACACUUGGGCAAGCGUUUUGCUAGGCGUGGCCCGGGAGUACGUCCAAGCUGACUGUUAUCUUCAUUGAUUUAUGACUUAUUUUCAGCUUCACGCAUCUCACGGGCCACGGUGUUGGCCAACAUUUAUCCGUUUCCAUCUUUUCGGGCCCAAAAGCGCAUACAUAAUGGUAAGGAGGGAAGGGAGACCGUUGGCUAUUCUUCGCCUAGCACUGCUGGUUGCACGCUUCACGCACGACAUUGUGGAAGUUAUCAUUAACAUAAAUUACUUUCAGAUUAGGAAAAGGAACGACCGUUUGGUGCCCACGUUUGCGCUACGACGUUCUACGGCGCGUUUUAUUCACGUUUUCACAUUAUGAUUAAAAAACAACACAAACAACAAACCAUCAUGCUUAUGUUGGUUCGAGCGAAAAGCAUUAAGGAACGCUUAGGCAUUCGGUAGGGCCCACAGUUUUGGGGAAAACACUAAUCUGACAGCUAUCUGUGAUGAAUGGGCGCUGCUAUUAUUCCAACCAAAAUACUCACUUCAAUGAGAGUUUUGGACUCAGUUAUUUGAUUUAGUAUUGGAACUUUGAUUUUCAACAGGUUGCGUCAGGAUGCAAAAUUCAAAAUUACAUGCAAACUUUCUACGAAAUGUUGCCGCUUCUGUACCGUGUUGUUGCUCAAUGGGGACAGUUCUGCGCUCGCUUAAUGCCAUCAUCAAUUUUCUCCCAACCGUUCCUUUGCCUCAGCGUCUCGAUCUUAUCAGGCCCACCAAAUUCACCAUUCAACACUCCAUUAGGUUUACGCUUUAAAGCGGCGUGAAGGACGGUCGAUGGGACUCCAUUUUGGUGACUCCCGGGCGUAACUUUCCAUCCGAUUUCUACAUCUUCCAGCGGCUGCUCCAGGGCUGUUGUGGACACACGGCGUUAACGCUAACCGGGCGAACGAAUGGUUCGAUCCGAGUGAGUCCCUCCCCCUCCCAUCCGCAGGAAACGUAGUUUAUCAAGCUCAAUUACCUUUUCGGUUACUGUGCGGGGCCACGUGUACGACUGUGUACGACCGUGCCUGGCGAGAUGGCGGCAGCAUCUGGUGACGUGCGUCACAUGGAGACGAUGUUUUUUUUUUUUAGGAGUUUGUUUGUAUGUGUCUGUGUAUGCUUCUGUGGUGUGAGCAUGAAGCGGAAAAGCUCAUGAUUAAUUCCGUGGAAGAUAUUUUCGAAAUGACGCAAAUGGAAUUCGUCUCUGUGUGUGUCUGUUGUAAGUGUUUUUCGGUGGUCUUAAUUGCCCAUUUGCUGUAAGUAGGGUAGCAGGGCAGAGAGAAAGCAACUUCAUUUAAACUUUUGAAGUGUUUUGUACAAUUGAAAGGACAUAUUCAGGGAAAAGAGCUGCAAAUCAAAAUGUAGCAAACAAGAAAACAAAAUCCUAAGAACCAAUUCUGCGAAACAAAUACUUAGGUCCAUUUAAUUUAACUUCAUUACUUCACAGUUUACCUCAAAAUUGACAUAAUCUCAUUAUCUAAUAAAUGUUAACAUUUUAUUGAAUGCUUUGAAUCCAUCAAUUGUUUAAACUAUAAAGUUAUCCAAUAGCUGAUCUGAUAUUCCUACUAAAAUUGUUGAUUGUAAAAGAUUACUUUUAUCAAUUACCCUAAUAGCAACCAAAUUCGACAGCAUUUAAACAACCACUCAUAUCGUCCAUAAUAUAUUCACCAUUUUGUUUCCUCCCGGGCAAAUCUGCUAAGUAAGCUGCCCUCCGCAAACGAUUAAGCAGCGAGGCGCACCGGGCAAAACUUUUCCCUCUUUGAAUCGCAUUGCUCUUGCUUGCUAUCCCCUUGUAGCGACCAGACCGCCAUCUGGCGUGAGAAUCGUGAGCGAUCGUGACAUCCAGGGACAAAGACACGGAUCUCCGUGGAGCGCACUCACCAGGCACACGAAUGUGUCAAAGUGACGUGCGCCGCGUGUCCAGCGCUACACUUCCUGCUGUCAGCGAGCACAUUCUCUCUCUUGCGACCCAACCUCGAAAGCGAACAGACCUCUUCCUUAGCUCCGCGCUCGAAAAUUCCUCAACGUGAAACCCUCUCGAACGAACGUGCGCAACCGUUCAUAAUAUAGUGUAAAAUAAAGUUCCUUAUUACCUACUCACGAAA